GGAUUCUCUACAGUAAUCGGCAGAAUGAAGACGAGCGGACAACUUCAAUUUGGAAAUUCUCGUUCCCUGGCAACGGCGAAAUUGGUAUUUUCAAGAACCAUUUUCUAGGCGGAACCGGCUUCUUCCAAGUUGGUUGGAACCACCACGUCUUAAAGGGGGACACCCCCGUCUGUGGCGUGGCCGGCCGCCAACAAUGCGCUUUUAACAAGUCGGGUGGUUUGGGAAUGCAGCCAAAAUGGGUGGUGAACUUCAAUCUAAAGCUAAAUAUUGGCACGAGACCGAUAGCGACCACGUACCGGGAGGAAAAAAUGAAAAGCACUUUGAAAAAAGAGUUAAAAAGUACGUGAAACCGUUAAAAGGAAAACAAUGGGGGUUAGCAAUGCGCUCCGCGAGAUUCAGCCUCCCGGCGGGCCGGCCGGGCGGUUGGCGGAUCCAAACGGACCGCCGCCGUCCGCCUCGAUCCCUCGGGCGUCGCACUUCUCGCGAGCGCGCGUCAGCGUCGGUUGGGACUGGGUCUCAAAGGCGCCGGGAAGGUAGGUUCGACCCCUCGGGGACGGACUGGUAUAGCCCGGCGUCGCCCAUGGCCCGGACCCGACCGAGGUGCCGCGGCGCGUGCCUUUUCUUUGGCUGGGGACCCGUCGUUCCGGUCGGUCGUCGACUGCGGUGGACUGCGUGCAGUGCGCCGCGACCGCUGCCGGUCGCUCCGGCGGGGACCUCACACCACGCGCCCAGGACGCUGGCGGUCACAUGGCCUCAUCCGACCCGUCUUGAAACACGGACCAAGGAGUCUAACAUGUGCGCGAGUCUUCGAGUGAUCGAAACUCCCGGGCGCAAUGAAAGUGAAGGCGGCCUCGGCCGCCGAGGUGAGAACCCCUUCCCCCCCCAACGGGAGGGAAGGGGCGCAUCAUCGACCGACCUAUUCCACUCUUGGGAAGGUUUGAGUAAGAGCGCAUCCUCGC
rnacentral:rRNA from 1 species